rnacentral:snoRNA from 1 species
AACCCAUGGUGAGGACACCUUCUCAGUAAGUCCUUGUACCUUUCCCAUUCAUCAUAUAGAGUUUCUAAAUCCAUUUGUAUGAAGGAAGAGAUAUCAUCCGUCAAUUU